UACGAAGGGGGCUAGCGUUGCUCGGAAUGACUGGGCGUAAAGGGCGCGUAGGCGGCUUGCACAGUCAGGCGUGAAAUUCCUGGGCUCAACCUGGGGACUGCGCUUGAGACGUGUGGGCUUGAGUGGGGAAGAGGGUCGUGGAAUUCCCAGUGUAGAGGUGAAAUUCGUAGAUAUUGGGAAGAACACCGGUGGCGAAGGCGGCGCCUGGUCCAUUACUGACGCUGAGGCGCGGACAGCGUGGGGGAGCAAACAGG
rnacentral:rRNA from 1 species